rnacentral:rRNA from 1 species
AGCAGCCGCGGUAAUUCCAGCUCCAAUAGCGUAUAUUAAAGUUGUUGCAGUUAAAAAGUUCGUAGUUGAAUUUCGGGAUUAGUAGGCUGGUUAUGACGCGGUCGCUAUGGCUGGUCAUGUACUGGUCUUACCUAUUCCUCCUUCCUGAUGAACUGUAGUGCCAUUAAUUUGGUGUUGCAGGGAAUCUGGACUGUUACUUUGAAAAAUUGAGUGUUUAAAGCAGGCUAACGCUUGAAUACAUUAGCAUGGAAUAAUGAAAUAGGACGUUCGAUCCUAUUUUGUUGGUUUCUAGGAUUGACGUAAUGAUUAAUAGGGAUAGUUGGGGGCAUUAGUAUUCAAUUGUCAGAGGUGAAAUUCUUGGAUUUUAUUGAAGACUAACUACUGCGAAAGCAUUUGCCAAGGAUGUUUUCAUUAAUCAAGAACGAAAGUUACGGGAUCGAAGACGAUCAG